rnacentral:rRNA from 1 species
UAACGCGAAGAACCUUACCAGGUCUUGACAUCUUGCGCCAACCCUAGAGAUAGGGCGUUUCCUUCGGGAACGCAAUGACAGGUGGUGCAUGGUCGUCGUCAGCUCGUGUCGUGAGAUGUUGGGUUAAGUCCCGCAACGAGCGCAACCCUUGUUACUAGUUGCCAGCAUUAAGUUGGGCACUCUAGUGAGACUGCCGGUGACAAACCGGAGGAAGGUGGGGACGACGUCAGAUCAUCAUGCCCCUUAUGACCUGGGCUACACACGUGCUACAAUGGACGGUACAACGAGUCGCGAACUCGCGAGGGCAAGCAAAUCUCUUAAAACCGUUCUCAGUUCGGACUGCAGGCUGCAACUCGCCUGCACGAAGUCGGAAUCGCUAGUAAUCGCGGAUCAGCAUGCCGCGGUGAAUACGUUCCCGGGUCUUGUACACAC